rnacentral:snoRNA from 1 species
CCCCCCUGGCAAUGGGCAAAGAGCCACCUCAUUGGUGGUGGUGUCUUUUUCCUUUUAAUCGGUAUGAGGGAUCAAAUCUUCUAUCAGUCAGGGGCAGUGUAGACAACAGCUUGUUGUUCAUCCUAGCUUGAUGCCUGGUUGGUGGCCAGAGCUGUUUCAUGCUUAGGACACAUGA